CGCUGGGCACGGACCAGGUCACUGGGACCAGCCUCCAGCCAUGAGAGGAUUUAAAGCUGCGCCCAAGCCCUGGGGCUGCCCCGCACCAUGCGGCUGCUGCUGCUGCUCCUGCUGCUGGGGCUCUGCUGCCUCUGGGCCCGGCUCGUGUCUACCGGACUCACCUAACCCCUGCGUGGACCUGGGCCAAGGACCCAGCCUGUGCGGCCAGCGGACAGACACGGACAGAGAGCGGCCAUGGAGGGACCCACCAGCUGCUGGAUAAGGGCCCGUUCCCCUGCUCCCACCUCCACCCCUCACCCUCAGCUCCCUGCAGAGCACGGGGGUCUCAGUGCCCCCCACCCCCAGUAAACCCUUUCUGCAAUGA